rnacentral:rRNA from 1 species
UACGUAGGGUGCAAGCGUUGUCCGGAAUUAUUGGGCGUAAAGAGCUCGUAGGCGGUCCGUCACGUCGGCUGUGAAAACCUGGGGCUCAACCCCGGGCCUGCAGCCGAUACGGGCGGACUAGAAUUCGGUAGGGGAGACUGGAAUUCCUGGUGUAGCGGUGAAAUGCGCAGAUAUCAGGAGGAACACCUGCGGUGUAGACGGCUUACUGGACGGUAACUGACGCUGAGGCACGAAAGCGUGGGUAGCAAACAGG